rnacentral:rRNA from 1 species
UACGUAGGGUGCGAGCGUUAAUCGGAAUUACUGGGCGUAAAGCGUGCGCAGGCGGCUUUGCAAGUCAGAUGUGAAAUCCCCGGGCUCAACCUGGGAACUGCAUUUGUGACUGCAAGGCUAGAGUACGGCAGAGGGGGAUGGAAUUCCGCGUGUAGCAGUGAAAUGCGUAGAUAUGCGGAGGAACACCAGUGGCGAAGGCAAUCCCCUGGGCCUGUACUGACGCUCAUGCACGAAAGCGUGGGGAGCAAACAGG